GGGAGCGCUGUGAGACUAGGAAUCUCUAUGCUGUACCUAGGGAGGGAAUGGGGGACCUAAUAGAAAUAACCCUACGGCUCAGUAGGAAUGUUCACCCCCCACCGUAAAAUUAUAUUUACAUUUUUGGCGUUUUCUUACAAAUAAAAAAAAAAUGGAGUGAAGAAAACAAUGCUGUGGAGUUGAGCUGCCACAGACUUUCUCAUGGGGAAGGAAGAGAGGGGGCUGGCUUCUUUGGCUGCAUUGCCCAUGCCUUCCUCCUGCAACUUUCAGUCCUGCAGCCCAGAGGGGGAAGAGAUGUCCCCGAUCCCUGUUUCUGAUGGGGGGGAAGGCAUCAGCCUUAGGCGCUGUGCUUUCCACUUGCACCGUAAAUGCCACGAGGGGCCAGACCGCGUGGAUCCAAUGUGCCAAAGUGUGCAAGGCACUUCACAUGAGACUUGAUCCCUACCUGAGACAGUUUGCAAUCUGCAUUUCAGACAUGACACAAGAGCAGGCUGCUAACUUGAAGCAAGACUUCCGCAUGUCUGCUCUUCCCUGGGCAAGGGUGUGCAGCCCAAUCACAUCCCACAACUAAAUUUCCGUUUAUGUGUCAGUUAUAGAUAAGGGGGGAUUUAAAGACACCAGUGAGAGGGGCUAGGCUAUGGCCCACCACCACAUCGUGGAUCAGAGGAAUGGAGAUCGUAAUCCAGAAGCAGCCUGAGGAACAUAAGUGUGUAUUUUUACCCUUUCUGGUGUAUUUGCAUGAAAUCUUAUACCCUAAUGAGGCUCUUGGAUGGAUUUCCCUUUUAAGACUUUGUGGGAAAUGGUUAUAGUGAGUAUUUCAUUUUUUGUACAAAGAGAAAUAAAGAUUUUUUAUUUUGUAGUAAUUCUAUAUGUUUGGUCUUUCCCCCCCUAAACACUUGCAUGGCAGCAAGAAGGCUGGGCAGCAGGAGCAUCACAGGAGGCAGCAGGGACAGUUUCUCAGGGGAACAGAGUAGGGUUCAUGGAGAGGCAGAUUGGGCAGCAGGAGGGAUUGCACACUAAAGCCCAACCCCAUUUGGACUGAGCUUUGGGGAAAAAAAUGGCAGGCAGGAAAGGCAGAAGAUAGAGGAAGUAGGAGGCCAAGCAAUAAUUAAAAUGGCUGAUUACCUUUAGUAGCAGCCAUUUUAAACACCACUUAUUCAUACAUUAUUAGGGAACAGAUACAUACAAAUAACAGUCUGGCUAAAUUACCAGAUUUCUGUACAAAUCAAUUCCAGUUUGGGAAAAUCCCAAGUGUAAUGGAAUAUGGAUGUGAGGUAAGGAGGUUGGGUGCUUACGAGGUAGGGUCCAUUUCCAAGGGGUUAGAAUUGUUCUAGGAGGUUUAUGGGAAUCUCAGGGUGUAGUACAAUCUCUUGUUGCUUUAGACUGUUGUUUACUUUCUGUGUUUCAUAAUUUGAGGCAUACUCAGGUAUGAAGAACAGAUGUGUAGAUGGUAGUUUUUGACUCGCAUGCACAGGGGAACAAGUAUAGUUUAGGAAUGAUUUUAAAAACAGAUUUCUUUUAAAGGUAUGUUCAAGUAACCAUACGUGGUUAUUUUCUGAAAACAGACAUAUCUGUGAGACAUCUCUAAACCUCCACUGGAAAAACAAGCCAUUCCAACUAAAAAAUAUUGAGAGGAAACACUGUGUAAGAGGUUACUAUAAGUUCUAUUCCCAUUGCAGACAGAUGUAAUUUGCAUGCUUGUUUCUCUGGAAACUUUUCAAAGUUGUUUUUCCACCGCAAAUACUAGCAAAGUGCUCUGGGGAAGGGGGAAACAAAUAGUACAUUUUUAAAGCUGGCUGUCCCCUACCAUUAAUGGCUCUUCCAACUAAAGGGAUGAAGUUAAGGUUGAGGAUACCACAGUAUGUUCAGUGUACGUGGGUAGCAGUAGACAUUCAUAUUCUACACACACACAAAGAAAUAUGAGAGAAGGGGGCAGGGUUUGAUAUAUGUGAACACUAGGACAAUCUACAUCUGGCAACCCAACGCUAAGCACUGAUGGAAUGAGUCACAUAAGGAGUGUAUUGUCCAAGGAUUCACAUAAAGAACAUAUUUUAAUUAUAACAAUAUGUUAGCACAUUUCUAUCCCUAGGUCUGCAAGCACUUUACAAAUGGCAAGUAAGCAUUAUUAGCCUGAUACCUGUUUUCGGGUUGUCUGUAGAGGAGGGGGGAAUCACAUUGCCUGAUGCUACCAGCUCAGCUGAUCUGACCCUGGCUGCUUGGCCUGCUGCCACUCCUUUCAGUGUUCUGGAGCUGGCUAGCCUGUGUUCCCCAUUCUAUCAUUACAUGGCUAGCUGAUACUGCUGCCACACUUCCCAUUUUCUGGUGCUUACAAGCCACUCUGAGUGAUGGAAUCUUCUGGGGAGAGGAUGAGAUGCCCACACCCACUCUGCAUUCUUCUGUGGAUGGACAGUUUGAAGUCUCCAACCUUGGAAGAGAUGAGGGAGGUGGCAAAGGGUUCUCAGAUAGUUCUGCAUUAGAAUGCAGUGGAGGCUCUUCCAGAUAGGCAGGGUAGACUUUGUUUAUCAUGCUUUGAAUCAAGUAUAGUAUGACCUUUUCCAGUUUUGACCAUAUUUUUAAUACUCUAAGUCACCUAGUCACUUUCAUACAUCACCAGAUCGAGUGCAAGAAAUGGAAAGCAGAAGAUGCAAUCUGGCAGAUUUGGUGGAGGAAAAAAUGGAAAACAGGCUGAUUGGCCAACCCAUCCCUCACUCAAUCCCACAGAGACUGGGGCUGCAUGGGGUAGAGAAAAAAGGAAGGAGUAGGUCAUUCAGCCACUCUCAAAAGACCUGGAGGGGAGCAGCAGCAUCUUGGUUGGGCCUAAAGUAAGAAACCAGAGAUGGAAGGGUUUCCCCUAGAAGACAAGGAGUCAGGAAAGAAGGGCAUGGAGGGUGGUUGGUGACUUCCCCUCUAUCCUCUGAAAGUGAUAUGCAGGUGGGGGUGAACAUUUCAGAACCUCUAAAACCAUUUGAUUUGCGUCUGAGUACUGAACAAAGGUUCAGGAGAUUCUUGUUUUAGUGAAAGCAGUUAAUCAGUCUCUCUCUAUUACCCCUUCAUUCUGUUCCUUACAAUCUAACCACAAUCACAUUCCCUUUUGCCAAAAUAAAUCUAUCUUAAUGGGAGGAAAACCAAAACAAAUGUGUCAUUUGAUUUACUACCUUGGCAAUAUGUUAAUUGCCAGGUGCUAGCACUGGCUAGAGCUACAUCAGAAGUUGGUCUUUUACAGUUCCUGCUGCGGCACCCAUUUCUGCUAAAUGAGGGUGGGGGUAAAAGGAGUGGCUGUAGAACCACAGAUUUUUAAAAAAGCAAAUGAUGACUAUCUUCCAUUUCUAUUUGAACUUCUUACAUAGUUUUCUGUAUGAACACUUAUUGAAUUGUCAUGAUUUAUAUAAAAUGGUAAGAGCUGAAAUUAUUAACCAGUUUUUAGAAAAACUCUUUGAUCCAGAUUUUUAAUGACAAAUCAGGCAACAUGUGAAGUCACAAGGGUGACAGCAGCCAUUACUUCACCAGAAGCUGACAACUCAGUUAAGCACUUGCUGGCAUUUUUAUAUGUAAACAUAUACUCUGAAACAUAGAGCUGAUACGUAAAACACCCACCAGGUCAAAUUCAGCAUCUGCCAUGAAUAGUUUUAAUUCAACACAAGAGUCUAUCUUUUCAGUGGCACAAGAACAGCUGUAUGUCAGAAGCAUUAACUUCCUAAUGCAUUGCACCCCUAGAAUUGUCUGUG